rnacentral:misc_RNA from 1 species
GAUGAAGAACGUAGCGAAAUGCGAUACUUGGUGUGAAUUGCAGAAUCCCGUGAACCAUCGAGUCUUUGAACGCAAGUUGCGCCCGAAGCCAUUAGGCCGAGGGCACGCCUGCCUGGGUGUCACACAUCGUUACCCUCGCGCCAACGUCCAGUGUUGGGCACGGCGCAGGGCGUAUGCUGACCUCCCGCGAGCGGGGUCUCGUGGUUGGUUGAAAAUCGAGUUCGCGGUCGAGUGUGCCGUGAUGAAAUGGUGGAUGGGCGACGCCCGAGGCCAAUCCAAUCACGCUUGACUCUGUCCGGCUUGGACUCCUGGACCCCUUGGGCGUCUCCGGACGCUCCCCAGCGAGACCUCAGGUCAGGCGGGGCUACCCGCUGAGUUUAAGCAUAUCAUAAGCGGAGGA